UUUGGGNAACUACUUACCGUCCUAGGGUUUC
rnacentral:piRNA from 1 species